rnacentral:ncRNA from 1 species
AUAAAUAAAUUUUUUAUGAUUUAUUAAAUUUAAUUUAAAUUUAUUUUACAUGUAAAUUUUAGUGUUAAUUUUUAAUUAUUUUAAUAAUAAUUAUUAAUAUUGCAGUAAUUAGAAUUAAAAAUUUAAGAAAUUAAGAUUUAGUAAUAUUUAAAUUUAUUAACAAAUUUUGUGCCAGCAGUUGCGGUUAUACAAAAAAUGAUUUAAAUUUUAUCAGUAUAUAAUAAAUAAAAUUAUUAUUUAAAUUAAAUAUUAGAUUAUUAAGUGAAAUUUUAAUUUAAUUAAAAUUUAUAUAAAUUUUAUGAUUUAUUAAAUUUUAUAAAAAACUAGGAUUAGAUACCCUUAUUAAUAAUAAUAAAAUUUAUAAUACUGAAAUAGUGGGUAAUUAUUUAUUGAACCUGAAAUAAUUUGGCGGUAUUUUAGUUCAUUUAGAGGAAUCUGUUUAAUAAUUGAUAAUCCACGAAUAAAUUUACUUAAUUUAUUAUUUUGUAUAUCGUUGUUAAAAAAAUAUUUUUUAAUGAAAAUAAUAUUUUAAAAUUUUUAUUUAAAAUUAAUUCAGAUCAAGAUGCAGAUUAUAAUUAAGAAUAUAAUGGAUUACAAUAAAUAAAUUUAAAUGAAUAAUAUUUUUUAAUAAAUAUUUGAAGGUGGAUUUAAAUGUAAUUUUAAUUAAUUUAUUAAAAUGAUUUUAAAUUAAAAUAUGUACAUAUUGCCCGUCGCUUUCAUUAAUAAAUUGGAAUAAGUCGUAACAAAGUAGAGGUACUGGAAAGUGUUUCUAGAAAGAA